AUGGGCAAGUUUGUGAAACCUGGGAGAGUGGUGCUGGUCCUGGCCUGAUGCUACUCUGGACUCAAAGCCAACACAUCAUCAUGUAGAACAUCGAUGACGGCACUUCAGAUCACCCCUACAACCGUAUCUCUGGUGUCUGGAAUUGACCACUGUCCCUACAAAGUGACAGGUGCCAUAGGCAAGAAGAUCACCAAAAGGUCAAAGAUCAAGUCUGUUGCGCAAAUUUAUAAAUACAAUCAUUUCAUGCCCACAAAUACUCUGUGAUAUCCCCUUGGGCAAAACUGUCUUCAACAAGGAUGGCUUCAGAGACCC
rnacentral:lncRNA from 1 species